GCCUGCUGCAUUGUUUGAAUUACCGCGCCAAGAUGGCGGACCUGAUGACGUAUGUCCGGCCGGCCGAUGCGGCAUCUAGGCUUUUAUAUCUGUGGCGCCAACUGAGUAACCUAAUCUGGGAUCUGGAUUUUUGUCAAACAGUCGGAGGUUAAUUCUGUCUACUAUAUAAAAUAUUAGAUUGAAGCUAUUUUGGCCAUGGAACUUGGGAGGCUUUGUGCCAGAACCAGUAUGUACUGGAGCAGUUAAGACUGAUGAUAAAGAUCCAAGAGGCGUCUUUCCAGCAGUGGCAAGGGAACUAGUUGCUGGAGAGGACUAAAAAGUGCCUGUUGCAAGGAGUAUACUGGAAUGAUACACAACCAUACCAGAUUUUGAUUAGUUGAUAACUGGAAGGUAUAUGAGGUGCUGAGAACCUGCCAACUGCUGGAUUUGAUAAAACUGGUGGAGGUAGCCCAUUGGAGUAUCUACUGGGAGGUACUGGAGGGAAAGGCCCUGACUUUUCAGGGUAAUGUGGCAAGGUCUUCGUAUUAUCUGCAGGGCCUCUGGGAGCUUCAGCAACAAUAGCAGCGCCGUUCUUACGUUCAGUGUCUCCAGACAAUUCAUGGCCGCCUGCAAAUGAAAAGGAGUUAAUCAGACCACAAUGAACAAGGAGCUGGCGCAAAAUCCAUUGGUAAAGGCAUGGAGAAAUGUCAAUUCUUAUGAAAUGGUAGACAUGACUAAUUGGAGUCUGCUUAUUGAUCAAGGAUGAAUGGCUGAAGUGAUGGUGAAUAAAUUAAAGAAUAAAGAUUACAAGAAAAUUUGGAAAGAUCCUACGAAAUAAGCAAGAAUUUUGAGAAAGGCUCUCAGAUGCAGACAGAGGAGCUACAUUUAGAAGGGAUACUAAUCCAAUCUAAAUGGCUAUACUAUACAGAUGAACAGCUGGUUUUGAGGAAGUGGGGUAUAUAUGACCCAAACAAAGCAAUCACAUGGAGAAGCCAAAGAUUGCAGUUAUUUAAACUCUGCCUAUUGAGAUAAAAGUUUAAUAUAAGAGAGAAGCUGAAACAAACUGGAUUUUGAAAAAGUAUGGAUGGCUUGCUUAACACUUCAUACACUACUAAAAGCUAAUUUAACAUUUUGAAAAAAUGACCCAGUGUAGCAUAGGAGAGUGGUUAGUAAAAAGCACUGAAAUGAAGUCAAGUAUGUCUUUUUUAACCAGACCACUGAG